rnacentral:rRNA from 1 species
AUUGAACGCUGGCGGCAUGCCUUACACAUGCAAGUCGAACGGUAACGGGCCUUCGGGUGCCGACGAGUGGCGAACGGGUGAGUAAUACAUCGGAACGUGCCCGAUCGUGGGGGAUAACGAGGCGAAAGCUUUGCUAAUACCGCAUACGAUCUACGGAUGCAAGCAGGGGACCGCAAGGCCUUGCGCGGACGGAGCGGCCGAUGUCAGAUUAGGUAGUUGGUGGGAUAAAAGCUUACCAAGCCGACGAUCUGUAGCUGGUCUGAGAGGAUGAUCAGCCACACUGGGACUGAGACACGGCCCAGACUCCUACGGGAGGCAGCAGUGGGGAAUUUUGGACAAUGGGCGCAAGCCUGAUCCAGCCAUGCCGCGUGCAGGAUGAAGGCCUUCGGGUUGUAAACUGCUUUUGUACGGAACGAAAAGCCUUCUUUUAAUACAGGAGGGUCAUGACGGUACCGUAAGAAUAAGCACCGGCUAACUACGUG